ACUGCGAGGAACGCCUGGAAAAAGAUAGAAAAGAAACAUCGCAACACAUCCACUUCCUAAAGUUUUCAUAGUAAGAUAUGAAGACGCUGAGCUUUUUAUUUGUGGUAAUGCUUUUGUUUAUGCCUGAGAGUCUCACAUUAAGAGGAUCUUAUGACAAAAGUCUAGAGGAUCGUUUUAGAGAGUUUGUUUCAGCGUUUAACAAAAGCUAUGUCGACGACGUUUAUGAGUAUGGCAUACGGAAGGAGAUAUUCCUACAAAGCCUUAUCAGACAUGACAAGCUGAACAGGGAAGAAAAAGAGCUUGGAGGUUCAGCUAGAUAUGGAGUCAAUCAAUUCUCAGACUUGACCCCUGAAGAAUUCAAAGAUUUCUUAAAGAGAGGUUAUGCAAAAGAACCAGAGAUGACCUCUCUCGUUUCUCUGCCAAGUGAUGUGAAGUGUGACAUUCCUGGUUAUAAGAAGCUACCUAGUUUCUGGGACUGGAAUAAAAAAGGGAAAGUGACCAAAAUUAAAAAUCAAGGAAAGUGUGGAGGUUGUUGGGCCUUCACUGCAACUGAACUGGUUGAGACACAAUGGGCCAUUGCUGGGCAUGAGCUAGAAGAACUCAGUGUCCAAGAGUUCAUAUCAUGCUCCAGGAAAGAUGGCUGCAAAGGUGGUAACACCUGCCAAGCCCUCAGUUGGCUCAGGGAUAUAGAUGUUGCACUUUUACCAGCAUCAGAGUACCCAUAUGUAGAUGAGAGCACCCCAUGCAAGACAUCUGUUUUAAAAAAACAGGGAGUUCACAUCACAAGACCAUGUUGUCUUAACAGUACCACGGAUGAGCUAAAACAGAUGAAGCCCAUUGUAGCGUUGAUAGGGCCGAUGGCUGUUAAUGUGGACGCCACCAUGUGGCAUGACUAUAUAGAUGGAAUUAUACAGCACCACUGCACUGACACUGAAAUCAACCACGCGGUUCAGAUAACAGGCUAUGACGCCACAGGCGAGGUUCCUUAUUGGAUCGUACGGAAUUCCUGGGGGACGAACUUUGGAGUCAACGGUUACCUGUACAUCGCCAUGAACAAAAAUCUGUGCGGUCUCAACAACUCCCCGACAUUCGUGAUCGUGUGAAGUAUUCAGAUGAAGCUAAUAACAUGGGCCAGAACUUUGUAGCCAAUCAACCACGUUAAAAGCUGCGCGGCAUAAAGGGAUUGGAUCGAUGGAGUACUGUUUCUUUUUUCUCCGCUAAAUACGCCACUUUUUAAUUAAAUUCUAUUUUGCUUACUUUUAUCGUCUUGAAGUAGGCACCCAAACAGAGACAUUACAUUGCGCUUACAAACUAGACAGCCAACUGAGAUGAAAGGCAUCAGAACAGUACUCUCAAUACUACUACGUCAUCAACGGGUUUCAGGAUUUUUUUUCAUAAUUGUACGACGCUUGCCACAAAAUGUAUCAAAUUUUAAGAAUUUCUCUUAGAUUGCUUUGUAUCGAAGCCGCCUAGACCUAAACUAUACAAACUACAACUGCACUAUGCAAACAAUUACAUUUUCAAUGCAUUUUUGAGUGCGAAAGUGAUUUCUAAAUUUGCCGUGGCCAGGAAGACAAAGUUUUUUUAAGUUACCCAAUUGCCCAGGUUCGAUUUGAAAAACGUAACCUCUAGUCGAGGCUCUUUAUUAAAAUCACAAAAAAAUGUGUCAGAGUUUGACGAGAGCUUCGAUGUGGUGCAUGUGGAAUAAAGCAUCAUGCUUCCUCUUUCUCAUAUUUUUUUACUUUUAGUAUUUGUCUCUGAUAGUAUUUGUGGUUUUACCCUCUGGAACACGGAGCUAAGAUUAUAAUUACAAGUAUGACAGUAUUUGUGGUCUUGGAACAUUGAGCUAAGGUUAUAGUUACAAGUAUAACAGACUCACCUUAUAGAAAAGGUGUGCUAAACGAUUGCCGCCCUCCUCUUCCCCUGAUGGCGCAGACGCCCCUAUGAUGCCCGUCCAAGCAUUCACGUCAGGAAGAGUCAUCGCUGCCACCACAAACAAUCCCAGCAAUAUGGACAACGUCGUCGAUUUCAUGUUAAAUCCACGGCGCUCUGUGACCGUGCUGUUAAGUAUUGAGCUCCCCGCGGCUUGUGGCCGUGCUUCUGAGCUGACUGUGUUUAUAGCCUGAGUGUUCGGCUUUAGUUUCAUUGCUUUAAGUGGUCGUAAGUGGGGUCCGGAGCCGGGCUCUGAGAGGGAGGAGAUAUCAUCGUUGCUUCCUUUCCCUCUCCAUCGCCGCAGAAAAGCGCCCACAACAAGCCUUUAUAUGACAUUGUAUUUAUUUGUUGCAAAUUUUGAGCUUGAAUAGAAAAAAAUUGCUGAAGGUGCGCUAAUUUUUGAAAACUCGUUUAAGACGAUAUUUGAGAAUGUUUUACAAAUCUAAUAACGCCUUUAAUCGCAUGAAUUGUAAAAAUAGACAAUAAAUAAGCCUUGUGUCUGAAACUAGACACGAUACUAUUCUGCAAAAUAAAGCACAAGACUGCGCAGUUUGCCAGUCUUAGUAGGUCAUAGAGCAUCAGCUCUUCAUACAAUAGGGAAAUCAAAUUUACGUUCUGUAAAGAGCUUUGAAUGAAAGCACUUGAGUACGGCUCUCAAAGAGGGUUCAUCGUCGAGUUGUUUUCGUUUCUGUAUCGGUGAUCUGUAUGCAUUGGUCUCAAAGAGCUUCGCUAAUCCCUCUACGGUAUACAUAACGUCAAUAAAACAUCUGUGUGGAUAAAAAGCUCAACUACCGGGCGAUCCAUGAAUCUGACACCGUACUUCCUUAUUUUUAUUACUUAAAGAUCCCGCUCUUUGAGAGGCAUUAUUAAUUAAUUACACGCCUUCUUCUAAGUCUAAAUUUUUCAUUCGUAUAUUUUAUAUUAACACAAAGUAGUAAUGAGACCAAAAUACUAAAACUGGAAGAAGAAUUGCCUUCUCUGUUGAGGCGGCUUUUCUUUCACCCAAAUCCCUUUUUUCGCCAGACACCGCUAACUGUGAGAUCAGUUUCUGGAAGCUACCUUAAUGUAUAAACCAAGCGUUUAUCCCUUUGAUUCACAUAUCAAAUACGUGCUUUCUAUCAUACGUUGCUUUUACUCUCCCCAAUUUGCCGCGUUUAAAAUAAUUUACCAUUUUUCUCAGUAACCUCUAUAGUCGGUCUGCGCUCUAAUCUGUGUGUGCUAGCAUAAAACAUGCUUCCGUUCUUGCAAAUUGACGAAACUGUAAAAUGCAAUAAAACCCCCAAAGAUAUCAGUUUCGUGUAUUUUUUAAAUAAAACAUCAAGUAAUACCGUUUGAAUGGACCAAAUUGACUUGUGUGUUUUUAUUGUAGAAAAUCCUUUUUAAGACCUAAGUUCCCCAUUUUUACCUCCGUAAAAUUUUGGUCAAACCAAAUCUGUCAAAGCUCAAUUUGCAUUUUUACUCUUUCAGCCCCACUCUCUGCAUUGCUCUAGCUGUUUGUAGCUUACGCUUUCAGUUUCACCGGCGACAAAAUAAAUAGUGGUAAAGAAGACACAAUCCAGGACUUGACAGGGUUUUCUGACGUAGGUGUAUUCCCAACGUACUUGGAAGAGUACGAAGAUUACUGGCAAGAGGAGGAGAGUAAAAUAUAGAAGCAAAGUUAGCCAUCGACUAAGUUGUCAAAAUACCGAUCGUUAAAAGUCUGGAGAAUUCGCUUCAUAAGUGUAAUAAGCGGGUAAUGAAAAAAGAAGUUUCAGGCCUCCUUAUAACUCGAGUUAAGACGCCGUUUGGAAGUGAGUUUUGAACGAAAAGUUGUUUGGCUCUUAAUUAUGCCUAGGCACUGAACAACUAGGUUGAUUUAAAUUGACAUCAGCGCAAUGAUCAGAGAUGUCUCAGAUUAAUUUUAUUCGAAAUUUCAUCCCUUUUUCUUUUGACAUUUUCUCGAUUCGUAAGUGAGCGCCCUGUGCUUUUUCUACGGGAAUAAAAACCGGUUUUUGUAUCGCUUGAGGGUAACAGCUAAUCGGAAGUCUUGUUAUUCCAAUAUCCAAUCAAAAUUCUAGCAGACUCUUGGAUUUGAAUGUAAGACCGUUUUACACCAGAAGCUGACGGUUCUCGACUUUAACUAACAAGAGAUGAGUAAAGCGAACUUUCAGCCUACGGAUCCCAGAUGCAAAUCCAGCCCUUGCAACUCCCACCUCGACAACACCAGCUCUAGAAACUCGAACCUUGGCGACACAAACCCUGGUAAAUCUAAUCUUGUCAAUACCACUCCUGGCAAUUAAAAACUUAGCAACACAAACCGGGCAAUAAAAAACUUGUUAACGCCAACCCUGGCGACUCGAACCAUGGCAACACCAACCCUGUCAAUCAUCGGGCAAUACGUUUCUAAAACUGUCAAUUGCGCGCAUCACAUCAGAGCUUGAGUUAAUGCUUAUAAGUAUUAACAUUAGAUAUCAAAAAAUCAAAUACGAGAUUACUUAUAAUACUCUCAUUUAAGUAAGUUUUAACGAUGUUGUUGUUUAAUCAACGCUUAUUUUACUCCGUUUUAAAGCUGCAUUUCUGGUACAGCUCUCAGUUUGCCAAUGGAAAUGAACAGCAUAGACACAGUGUUCAUACAGCAGAGACACAGUGUCCAUACAGCAGGGACACAGUGUUCAUACAGCAGAGACACAGUGUCCGUACAGCAUAGACACAGUGUUUAUACAGCAGAGACACAGUGUUUAGACAGCAGAGACACAGUGUUCAGACAGCAGAGACAUAGUGUUUAUACAGCAGAGACACAGUGUUCAGACAGCAUAGACACAGUGUUUAUACAGCAGAGACAUAGUGUUCAGACAGCAUAGACACAGUGUUCAGACAGCAGAGACACAGUGUUUAUACAGCAGAGACACAGUGUUUAUACAGCAGAGACACAGUGUUUAUACAGCAUAGACACAGUUUUCAGACAGCAGAGACAUAGUGUUUAGACAGCAGAGACACAGUGUUUAUACAGCAGAGACACAGUGUUUAUACAGCAGAGACACAGUGUUUAUACAGCAUAGACACAGUGUUCAGACAGCAUAGACACAGUGUUCAUACAGCAGAGACACAGUGUUUAUACAGCAUAGACACAGUGUUCAGACAGCAUAGACACAGUGUUUAUACAGCAGAGACACAGUGUUUAUACAGCAGAGACAUAGUGUUCAUACAGCAGAGACAUAGUGUUCAUACAGCAGAGACAUAGUGUUUAUACAGCAGAGACACAGUGUUCAUACAGCAAAGACACAGUGUUUAUACAGCAUAGACACAGUGUUCAGACAGCAUAGACACAGUGUUUAUACAGCAGAGACACAGUGUUCAGACAGCAGAGACACAGUGUUCAUACAGCAGAGACAUAGUGUUUAUACAGCAUAGACACAGUGUUCAUACAGCAGAGACACAGUGUUUAUACAGCAUAGACACAGUGUUCAGACAGCAUAGACACAGUGUUUAUACAGCAGAGACACAGUGUUCAUACAGCAGAGACAUAGUGUUUAUACAGCAUAGACACAGUGUUCAUACAGCAGAGACACAGUGUUUAUACAGCAUAGACACAGUGUUCAGACAGCAUAGACACAGUGUUUAUACAGCAGAGACACAGUGUUCAGACAGCAGAGACACAGUGUUCAGACAGCAGAGACAUAGUGUUUAUACAGCAUAGACACAGUGUUCAUACAGCAGAGACACAGUGUUUAUACAGCAUAGACACAGUGUUCAGACAGCAUAGACACAGUGUUUAUACAGCAUAGACACAGUGUUCAGACAGCAGAGACAUAGUGUUUAGACAGCAGAGACACAGUGUUUAUACAGCUGAGACAUAGUGUUUAUACAGCAGAGACACAGUGUUCAGACAGCAGAGACAUAGUGUCCAUACAGCAUAGACACAAUGUUUAUACAGCAUAGACACAGUGUUCAGACAGCAGAGACAUAGUGUUCAGACAGCAUAGACACAGUGUUUAUACAGCAGAGACAUAGUGUUCAUACAGCAGAGACACAGUGUUCAGACAGCAGAGACACAGUGUUCAGACAGCAGAGACAUAGUGUUCAUACAGCAGAGACAUAGUGUCCAUACAGCAGAGACAUAGUGUCCAUACAGCUGAGACACAGUGUUCAUACAGCAGAGACACAGUGUUCAGACAGCAGAGACACAGUGCUCAGACAGCAGAGACAUAGUGUCCAUACAGCAGAGACACAGUGUUUAUACAGCAGAGACAUAGUGUCCAUACAGCAUAGACACAGUGUUUAUACAGCAGAGACACAGUGUUCAGACAGCAGAGACACAGUGUUCAGACAGCAGAGACACAGUGUUCAUACAGCAGAGACAUAGUGUUUAUACAGCAGAGACACAGUGUUUAUACAGCAUAGACACAGUGUUCAGACAGCAGAGACACAGUGUUCAGACAGCAGAGACAUAGUGUCCAUACAGCAGAGACACAGUGCUCAGACAGCAGAGACACAGUGUUCAUACAGCUGAGACACAGUGCUCAGACAGCAGAGACACAGUGUUCAGACAGCAGAGACAUAGUGUUCAGACAGCAGAGACACAGUGUUCAUACAGCAGAGACACAGUGUUCAUACAGCAGAGACAUAGUGUCCAUACAGCAGAGACACAGUGCUCAGACAGCAGAGACAUAGUGUCCAUACAGCAGAGACACAGUGUUCAUACAGCAGAGACACAGUGUUCAGACAGCAGAGACAUAGUGUCCAUACAGCAGAGACACAGUGCUCAGACAGCAGAGACACAGUGUUCAUACAGCAGAGACACAGUGUUUAUACAGCAGAGACACAGUGUUUAUACAGCAUAGACAUAGUGUUUAUACAGCAUAGACACAGUAUUCAGACAGCAGAGACAUAGUGUUCAGACAGCAGAGACACAGUGUUCAGACAGCAGAGACAUAGUGUUUAUACAGCAGAGACACAGUGUUCAUACAGCAGAGACACAGUGUUCAUACAGCAGAGACACAGUGUUCAGACAGCAGAGACACAGUGUUCAGACAGCAGAGACAUAGUGUUUAUACAGCAGAGACAUAGUGUUCAGACAGCAGAGACAUAGUGUUCAUACAGCAGAGACACAGUGUUCAUACAGCAGAGACACAGUGUUCAGACAGCAGAGACAUAGUGUUCAGACAGCAGAGACAGUGUUCAUACAGCAGAGACACAGUGUUCAGACAGCAGAGACAUAGUGUUCAGACAGUAGAGACAUAGUGUUCAUACAGCAGAGUCAUAGUGUUUAUACAGCAUAGACAUAGUGUUCAGACAGCAGAGACAGUGUUCAGACAGCAUAGACACAGUGUUCAGACAGCAGAGACACAGUGUUCAGACAGCAGAGACAUAGUGUUUAUACAGCAUAGACACAGUGUUCAGACAGCAUAGACACAGUGUUUAUACAGCAUAGACACAGUGUUCAGACAGCAUAGACACAGUGUUCAUACAGCAUAGACACAGUGUUUAUACAGCAUAGACACAGUGUUCAGACAGCAUAGACACAGUGUUCAUACAGCAGAGACACAGUGUUGAGACAGCAGAGACACAGUGUUCAUACAGCAAAGACAUAGUGUUCAGACAGCAGGGACACAGUGUUCAUACAGCAGAGACACAGUGUUCAGACAGCAGAGACAUAGUGUUCAGACAGCAAAGUCAUAGUGUUUAGACAGCAGAGACACAGUGUUCAUACAGCAGAGACACAGUGUUCAUACAGCAGAGACAUAGUGUUCAUACAGCAGAGACACAGUGUUUAUACAGCAGAGACACAGUGUUCAUACAGCAGAGACACAGUGUUCAGACAGCAGAGACACAGUGUUCAUACAGCAGAGACACAGUGUUCAGACAGCAAAGACACAGUGUUCAGACAGCAGAGACACAGUGUUCAUACAGCAGAGACACAGUGUUCAGACAGCAGAGACAUAGUGUUCAGACAGCAAAGUCAUAGUGUUUAGACAGCAGAGACACAGUGUUCAGACAGCAAAGUCAUAGUGUUCAGACAGUAGAGACAUAGUGUUUAUACAGCAGAGCAUAACCUGUCACCAGCAAUACUGGCGUCGUCUGUACAAGGUUUAACCUUCUAAAGAGGAUCUCCCUGUAUUGACCCUAAAAAGUUCGAUUAAACCAUCCUCUCCAGCAAGCCUCUACUUCAAAGCAAAUCUUUUUAAAUAAGCCCCAUCCCCUCUACGCCCAAUUCCGAGUCACACAAAGCAUCUAUUUUUAUUCCGCUAAUUUAAGCGAGUAAAUAUUUGCAAACAAAUAUCUAUAAAAGAGUAACAGAAUUUAAUCGUGAAUUGCAAAUAGACCCUCAGUCUUCAGUCUCCUCAGAAGUAAAUAAUAUAAAAGAAGUGUUCCCCCCUCUUGAUGCAUAAAGUAAGAUUACAUAACAUGUUCCAAGAGUACACGUGAUUCUUGCUUGCUUCGAAUGCAAAAAGGACACCAAGUACGUAGUUGUUAAUGUAGAGCAUACGUAAUAUUCUCCUGUUUGAAAAAGCCCUUCUUUCCGAUACCCCCUCCAAUUAAAAAGAGAACCCCUAUGGUUUAUUAGAGCUUUUACGGUAUUUAAUUUUUGAUUGUUAAAACCAAAAGUCUCUAUAGAGAAAGCCCACGCAGAGAAUGCUGAAAAACAUAAUAAACUCUAGUAAAAAAAACAGUUAUCAACUCAAUAUUUAAUUAAGCAUACAUAUUAAAGGUGUUUCUUUCAAAACCGUUCGAUAAAAUAGAAGUAUGUUUUCAUAUAUCGUAUUUGUUUUUGAUUGUUGAUCUUUCACUAGUUAUUAUUCCAAGUACACACUCUUUCAUUUAUUCAUUGACAUACAAGGGUCAUGAAAUUGUUUUAUCGUAUAAUUACUACGCUUGGAAGCUAAAACAUCUGCUGGGCUUUCAUUUCCUUUUGGUAUAGCGCGCGGCGCAAACCGCCAUGGUCUCCGAACAAAGCGCAGAUCACCCUCGAACUCGAAGCACUUCAUAGUUGAAGGGCUUUCUCUGGGGGCUUGUUAUUGUUGAUCACAAUCUAUAAAUGGCGCUCUAUCACACAAUAAGCGAUCUCUUUGUUCCCCUUAGCCGUUUCCUUGAAUUAAGCAUGGAUUGUAAUCUCGUAUCUUAAAGAAUACUCGAGCAAAGAAAUUAGUUGAAAAAAACAACAACAUACGUCUAGCCAUAAAGCUACUAGAUUUAGUUUAAUAUUCUUGUUUUAUCAUCUUCAAGAUUUUCCUACAAAACAUAGAAAACUUGAAAAAUUGGAGAUUAGCCAGGAUUAAUUGACUCCUGUUUGUUUGUGUUUUAAUCAAAUUCAAUAUUUGCUAAAAUUGUUAUGUUUUUGGUUAAUCAGCCUUGACCUUCUAUGGAAACAAAUUAUCAAGUUAUAUAGUUUUGUGUUGUGUUGGUAGCUAAUAAGAGAUUGUUUAUGUUUUGCUUGCUUACUCAUGGGGAAACAACUCUCCUAUUAGUAAAUGCCCUUUUAGCAACUUUCUUUUUACUAGUAACUUUCCUAUUAGAAAAUGUCUUUCUAGUAAAAGGCCGGCCAAAUGUUUCUAGCAAAAUAUAUAUAACGUUUUAAAAGGGAGGACUUACUGAAAUGUGCGGUUAAAAAUAAUGCAAUCAAGAAGAACGACUUCUAACACGUUUCUUUAUGACUACAUCGGCUUAUUCUAAGCUUUCCUGUACUUGUAAUUAGAGAUAAAUGUAAUAAUCGAUUGACUUACCAAUGAACAACAAGUUUCUGCACCACCUGUUCGUAUCGCUACAGUACUCGGAUUAAGUACUAUUUUUGUCCUCUGUAUUUAGCUUUUCUUUAUUUUGGGUUUUAAAUUUAACUUUCUGAGUUAGUCUUUCAUUUGUCACCUUGGUUUCAAUCAAUAUUUGUUGUAAUGUCCACUUAUAGUAUUUUGAAUUUAGCUUUCUGAAUGGUAUACUGAUUUGUUACCUCUUUAAAAUAUAUAUUUUCGUUCCCCAAAGUCCCUUUUUAGUAUUCUUAUUAAACUUUCUGAGUUGGAAUUCGAUCUCAAACGAUAUUUCUUUCAAAAAGUCUGUCCUAUCUUCGGGGUAUAAUUCGUUUAUUGUAAUUCCUACUUCAACUUCCUUGCCUUUUUAAAUGCUAAUCUAUUUUCCGUGUAAUUGAAUUGUAGCAUAAAAAACAUACUUACAAUAGUAAAUGACAUUUUAAUUAUAUCGAAAACCAAACUCGAACCGACGGUUAGUACACAAUGAAAUGGUGAAAUGACUGAUGUGUAUUUACACGUUUAUUUGUUUGUUAUUGAUUCUUUAUUCUAAAGCAUACAACAAUUGACAAAAAGUUUACACCAUUUUUUCUUUUCUUUCCUACUUUUAUUUUUCAUGAACUGCAACAGGAAGAUUGAGAAGGCGCUUAAAUGCAAUUCCCCAAAUUAAAGCCUCUUGUAGCCGACUUAUUUACGGAAAUUUCUAUUUUUAAUCGUUUAUUUUACGUCUUUUUGGUGCUUCAAUGAUAAGAUUUUUUUGAAUUUGAAACCGUUAUUAAGUGUUCCAUUUUAUUAGCAAAAAUUAUUUGAAAAAUAAAGGAACAUUACUGAUACUUCAUACAAAAUAUCUGGCCAAAAUUAGAAAAAAAGUCAAUCUAAUGAUAAAGAUAGAUGCAAGAAAAAGGUAAAAGUAAAACUAAGUUGCGCUGCUUUGAAUUAAGAUUGAAGCUGUGUAACAACCGACGCCGCUCGAACCACGCUAGUAUUCCCGCCAAAUAUUCCCGCCAAACUCGACUCUCGUGUUGGGAAUGGGAGAGCGCCUCGUGAGCGGAGUACCUGUAAUUCCCCCAAGUAGUUGACAGGUUUGUCUAAGUGCGUAACGAGAUUACGAGGAAAGCGUCCUGACAAGGAACACAUCCGAAAAUGGCAAAACCGUAAAAGGACGCCAAAUUAGGAAGUUUAUUCCCCCGUUUUAUUAUUUGGGAACGUUAAAUUGACAUUCAUAUCUUAAUGUUAUCUUGGCAUUAUUUAAAUAAGUGGAUAAUUAACACCUAUUUUGGAGGCGUCAAGAAAUUGUUACAAAGACUUAAACCUGCGUGAAUGCGUCUUUCAGACGGCACUGACCGAGAAUUUCACUCUUCCACGCUCAUUCCCUCGUCAUUACCGCUUAUUCUAUUAGUGGUUAAGUUUGCUGUAGGAUCAUUAGUGAAUCCUGAAAAGACAUGAGCGGAACACCCGCCUUGUCACUUAAACCACCUGGCAAAUUGAAGACAAAACUGCCGUUUUCUCAAGGUCCUAAGCGUGUCCUUAGUAUUAUGAAGAUUCAUAAACUUACCCAGCACACAAAUUUCGCGUUAACAACGCUUCGAGUUCCACUCCCCACGAGAAAAACUAGCAUUUAUAAAGAUGCCAUAUACUUGACCAAUUCCGCCUGCCUGCGUUGUCCGGCCCAACCCGAGCCCUUCUUGACAUGUUAAACGCUGAUGAUAAGAAUCACGAGUGAGAGUGGGUUACCUUCGUCAACUUCUACAACAGCUGGCAAACACGCCCCUACUUUGCAUAUAUAUAUAUAUAUUGCCUGGUAACCCAGCAUCACCAGUUAGUUAAUCCAAGUCUCCAGUGUAGUGGAAGAAGAGCGUACAGCAAGCGAGACAAGAUGAGAAGGAAUUUAGCAACUGCUUUUGUCAUACUCAUUGUCCUUUGUAGUAUAACUCGGUCGUAUUGUGUGCUGCUCGGGGGACCGCAAGGCGCGUGUCGAGAUGCGAAGGGUAAUUCCGUCAGUUGCGGCUCUGGCAAAAGGAAAUUUAGAGAGCGUUCCUUCAGCAAAAGAACAAUCAGCAACAUAUGCGAGGUGGCAAGAAGCAUCGGUUGCGAGGACUACCCUGAUUUCAAGAACAUCGACUUUUAAUGACACAAAACGCCGAUUAGACAAGAGAGAUUAUUAUUUUCAAACCCAUCAACGUAAUAAGUGAAUGAAUAUACGUUUUUCAAUAAAAUGAAAGAACAGCAAAAACAUUGGAGUGGCUUAAUCUACAAUGAGACAAGAGAUAUACUACCUUGUAAUAUGGGGAAAUUUUAAAUUACUAGAACAUCGUCAGCACUUUGAACGUUGUAAUGAUAUAGUUUGAUUACCUUUUAAAGAAGGUUUUUUUGCACUCACUAAACUCUACUGGUGAUGUUAAAAAAAACGCUUAGACUGUAUAAAAAAUCCACCAAACUAUUAACCUCUUGCUUAGAUACUCAAGAUUUAUUAAAGAGUAUUUGAGACAUCUCUUACUGACAACUUGCAGCCUGAAUAAUAGUGACUUGAAGCUAAGACAAGCUAGGGUGUAUGUGAGAAACAGUUCUAACUUACCUAUACCUAUUAUACUAGUUACUCCAUGCUAAACAAAAUGAUAGAAGCCCUUACUGCCAAAGUUUAACUUGUAUGCUAGAUGCUAAAAUAUUGAAUAAAGUUUAUGUAAGAAGC